ACCGGACGCGCCCGCUUCUCGCUGGAGUGCGCACCGAGCGGCAGUGACUUCGCCGCUGCUGUAGUUCCCCGGCUGGAUGCGGUGACUGGUGCCAGUGCUCAGGCGCCCGCUGCCCUUGACCUCCCGCCCCGCGAGCCCUAACUCAGCGCAGGAGGACCGGCUGCCGCCGCCGCCGCCGCCAGAUCCACACAACUUAAAGAUCUGCUGUCGAGUGAAUGGGGAAGUGGUCCAGAGCAGCAACACCAACCAGAUGGUAUUCAAGACAGAGGACCUGAUAGCCUGGGUGUCCCAGUUUGUUACCUUUUACCCAGGGGAUGUCAUCCUGACUGGGACCCCCCCACCUCCACCCAGGUGUCGGUGUAUUCAGGAAACCUCCUGUCUUUCUCAAGGUCUCUGAAGGUCCAGACAGCACUGAUGGCGAGCUUUGGGUCCGCACACUCUGGAAAGAAGAGAGAAGUGAAGGCUCUAGGUAGGGAGAACAGAGAGCCACUGGGCACAGGCUUCUCUCCUCUUGUUUAAAGAAGCCCAGGGAGGGAUAGAGCUCUGACUGGACAGAAGACUGUACUCUGCAGCCUGCCUUCCUAGAGUUGGGUUGUCACUGUCCUGCAGGGGGCAGCAGCCACCAGCAAACACCACUGCCUGCAGGAGCCUGGGCUGACUGGUUGGGACUCACCGAAGAUCCCUUCUUCCUGGGCGGUGGCCUGCAGGAACUGGAACAGCUGCUCUGUGUAGCCCAACUCUGCAGAAGAGAGAAGACCUAGACCUGGCACCCAGCACAGACACAGCCUGCCUCGAGGACUGCAAGGGAACAAGGGCCUCACCAGUAUCGGGCAGCUGGCCCUGGCGGAGGAA